ACAUGAUGUAAGUAUAAAAAAAGAACAUAAACAUAAGAUAGAAGAGAAUCCCAUCUUUGCUGUCCAGGGAGUUCACCUCCCUUCCUUCUGUUGCGCUUCACUUCUGGAGGGUCCUUCUAAACCAAGUUUGUCAUUGGUUAAAGUUGAAAUACUUUCAGCCAAUUGAACCAUAUAAUCUUUUAGCAACACACGUUGGCUACCAUUGGUUUUGAAACUGCUGCUGCUACUAGAAUGCACUUUAUUUAACUUUUUUGUGAUACCUCUAUCCCUAGAUUUAACACCUCUUCCCCGACCGGAAAACACCACCUGAUUCAAGAUCAGAUUGGUCUUUAAAGGAGAGGUAUUGUUGUUUUUUUUUUUUUUCCCGGAAGAUCACCGCCGAGUGUCUGUCGUAGUCGACGCUCCUCACCUUCCACCAGUUCGUCAGUCGAGGUGCGGAAAGGUUCACCGAAGGCCUAUCAUUUUUAAGGAGCAAAACCCCCAAUUUCUUGGCCACACGAAUCUCCUAUCGCCGUCCGGUUUCCAGUGCUGUUGAUUGCGCCAGCAAGCAGAUUUUGGGCCACCGUUCCUUGCCUUAAUUGGUCCAAUAAGGAUCAGGCUUGAGUAGACGAAGAGCCACCAAGGCCCAAACUGUUAGAUCUCUCUUUAGUUGGAAUAAGACUCCCUACUCGACUUUUAUUAACCAAGCUGGAUCCCACACUCGGCCCAGCGUUAUCAGAUCCUUUAAUAAUCGAAUUUAAUCCAUUUUUAGGGCUCAACUCUUUAGACUUCCCUUUGUUCUUUGAAUCCAUUGCCAGCCGACCGUUAUGGUAAUAGCAAUUUUCCUUACUUUGUUGAUUUUCAAUGAGAAUUUCUUUCCCUUAUUGCGUCAAUGAUCUGUUAUAUCUCUUUCAGUUUAUUCUUGAUUCAAAUUCCUAUUUUUUAGGGCAUUAAAACGAGAACCUUCAUUCUGCCUCUCCUGAUUUCCGUAAGAGUGCUGCAAAUUAUUCCUGAAUUUUCACCUUGGUCUCCUUUCUACGAUCGUCCACGGCUUGUAAUUUUCGUCUUUCUCCACCUGUCAGUCCUCGACCAAGCUGUGAUUUUCUGGUAUCAUUUCGGGCAGAGCUGUUUCCUUUUCCACGUUGAUUCCAGCACACCUAAAGGAGCAAUUAUCAUUCACAUGACCAUACCUCCCACAGUGAAAGACAUUUGUCGUGGUUUUGCAAAUUGUCUGCUAAGCUGAGAUGCGAAGAUAUUGCAAGAGAAGUUGACAAAAAAGGUGACAUAGGCGAUGACCGGAGGAAACAAUCAGAGUGAAAGGGUAAAAAGUAAAAACAAUAAAUAAUAGUGGAAAGAUGAUGGGGAUGAGAUGAUUUUAGAUUACAUGAUAAAGAAGAUAGUGUUUUAUUAUAUUAAUUAGAUCUGGAAAAUCGAAUAUUUGUCUAUUAUUUUAACAAUUACUUGGUGUGCAUUUAUUUUAAGUGGUUUGCAAUGGAAUUUGAUUUCCUCUUUAGUAGCAUUAUUUAAUUAAUUGCCUUUCAAAUUCUAAAAA